GGGGUGCGGGAGGGGGCCUCACAGAGCAGCUGAGACCUGGGUCAGCCUGGGAGGAAGGGGGUUGGAGUGGAUCAGCGAGCACCCCGAACCUGGACGCACAUGAAAAUCUCCUAGGGGCCUCCGCAAAACAAAACAAAACCAACAAAAAAAUCAGUAGGCCUGGGAAGCUGCACGUUGACCAGUCCCUCCCCAGAUGGCUCACAUGAUCAGUCAUAGAUCUGGGGACCCCAGACCCGAAGAAUGCAUAGCUUUGUUUCUAGCGGUGACAUCGCUUUAUUCCGCUCACUUGGUGUUUCCAUCUUUCCCUCUUCGACGGAAUCCGGCUCCAACCCGGUAAGACCUCCAACUUCGUAUCACAACACUAUCUUAAAGAACCCUCUAGAACCCAACCCCUUCAGCAAAGAAGGACCAGAGCCAGAUCAGGAGAAAAAGACUAUUUUUACUGUCCAAAUGCUUCACAUGGAUUAAGCAUUUGGUUUUCCUUGGAUUAUUAUUUUUUCCAUGAAUAUAAACCAUUUUGCAUGUUGGAACGCUUCUGCAAACAGA